rnacentral:snoRNA from 1 species
CAUUGAUCUGUGAUGGCUGAAGAAUAAUCUGCGUUAUCUAUCUGAAAUUCCAUCUUGGAAUUGAAGCUGAACAUUUUUUUCUUUCUGAGAUCAAUA